CGGGUGGCAGCAGUAAGGAAUAUUGGUCAAUGGACGCAAGUCUGAACCAGCUAUGCCGCGUGAAGGAUUAAGGUCCUCUGGAUUGUAAACUUCUUUUAUCUGGGACGAAAAAAGGUCUUUCUAGACCCCUUGACGGUACCAGAUGAAUAAGCACCGGCUAACUCCGUGCCAGCAGCCGCGGUAAUACGGAGGGUGCAAGCGUUAUCCGGAUUCACUGGGUUUAAAGGGUGCGUAGGCGGGUAGGUAAGUCAGUGGUGAAAUCCUAGAGCUCAACUCUAGAACUGCCAUUGAUACUAUUUAUCUUGAAUAUUGUGGAGGUAAGCGGAAUAUGUCAUGUAGCGGUGAAAUGCUUAGAUAUGACAUAGAACACCUAUUGCGAAGGCAGCUUACUACGCAUAUAUUGACGCUGAGGCACGAAAGCGUGGGGAUCAAACAGGAUUAGAUACCCCGGU
rnacentral:rRNA from 1 species